CACCCAUCAAGAUAGGAAGCACUUUUACAGGUGGGCUCUGUUUGGUCAAACUGUAUUUUACAAUUAUGACUAUGAAAAAAGAGUGUCUUUGAGAAUUUACCUUUAGAUAGCAAAUUCCUAUACCCCUUCUCCAAUUUACUCACCCCUUGGUCCUUAUUUCUAACAUUCUAUAAUGUUUUACUUGUUUUAUCUUUAUUGUCUGACACAUUACUACUGAGGGAAUGAGUGAAUUGUCUCAAACUGUACCAUCCUCACUGCUCACAAAGUCGGAUAGCAAAGAGCGGUGGUAGCAGCUCAGACUGAAAGGGAUCUGGAUGACUUCAGUGAUGGAGGCAGCAGAUUAUCCAGGCUGAACUCAAAGUCCCACGCAAAUGAAGGUAGGCUAUCCAGAGAGAGGCAGAGCCAGUGUGGCCUAUCUUCAAGAAGGAAAACAUGGAAGGGGCACAGAAGUUAAAGCACUCAUUGAAGAUUUUUCCAGCUAUUAUGCGAGUGGUCACCCCAGUUCUGUCCAACGCUGCAGCCACUGGCCAUGCCAGGCUCUCGAGCACCUGAAAUGUGCCUUGUCAUAAUCGAGAUAUGCUGUCGUUGUAACUAACACCCUGGAUUUUGAGGAUUUAGAGUGAAAAAGGAAGGCAAAAUUGCUCAUUAGCAAUUGUUUUAAUAUUGACUAUAUGUUCAAAUGCUAUUUUGGUUACACUGAG
rnacentral:lncRNA from 1 species